rnacentral:rRNA from 1 species
CCAGGCUUGACAUCCUGCCAAUUUCUCCGAAAGGAGAGAGUGCCUUCGGGCCGCAGUGACAGGUGAUGCAUGGCCGUCGUCAGCUCGUGUCGUGAGAUGUUUGGUUAAGUCCAUCAACGAGCGCAACCCUUAUAGUUAGUUGUAUUUUUCUAGCUAGACUGCCCUGGUAACAGGGAGGAAGGAGGGGAUGAUGUCAGGUCAGUAUUUCCCUUACGUCUGGGGCUACAAACACGCUACAAUGGCCAGUACAAAGGGCAGCCAAGUCGCGAGACGGAGCAAAUCCCAUCAAAGCUGGUCUCAGUUCGGAUAGCAGGCUGAAACUCGCCUGCUUGAAGUCGGAAUCGCUAGUAACGGUAGGUCAGCACACUACCGUGAAUACGUUCCC